rnacentral:ncRNA from 2 species
GAUUUUGAUGUACUUAAUUAUCAUAUAUUCCUUGAAUAUGGCAAGGAGUUUCUACAGGAAACCGUAAAUUUCUGACUAUGAGAGAUUAAGAUAGGAUU